rnacentral:rRNA from 1 species
AUUUUAACGCUGGCGGCAGGCCUAACNCAUGCAAGUCGANCGGUAACAGAGAUUAGCUUGCUAAUCUGCUGACGAGCGGCGGACGGGUGAGCUAAUGCCUAGGAAGUUGCCCGGUAGAGGGGGAUAACCAUUGGAAACGAUGGCUAAUACCGCAUAAUCUCUAAGGAGCAAAGCAGGGGACCUUCGGGCCUUGUGCUACCGGAUACGCCUAGGUGGGAUUAGCUAGUUGGUGAGGUAAUGGCUCACCAAGGCGACGAUCCCUAGCUGGUCUGAGAGGAUGAUCAGCCACACUGGAACUGAGACACGGUCCAGACUCCUACGGGAGGCAGCAGUGGGGAAUAUUGCACAAUGGGCGAAAGCCUGAUGCAGCCAUGCCGCGUGUAUGAAGAAGGCCUUCGGGUUGUAAAGUACUUUCAGUUGUGAGGAAGGGGGUAAGCUUAAUACGCUUACCUCUUGACGUUAGCAACAGAAGAAGCACCGGCUAACUCCGUGCCAGCAGCCGNGGGUAAUA